AGUUGCGAAGGCGGCUCUCUGGACUGUAACUGACGCUGAGGCACGAAAGCGUGGGGAGCAAACAGGAUUAGAUACCCUGGUAGUCCACGCUGUAAACGAUGAGUACUAGGUGUCGGGGGUUACCCCCUUCGGUGCCGCAGCUAACGCAUUAAGUACUCCGCCUGGGAAGUACGCUCGCAAGAGUGAAACUCAAAGGAAUGGACGGGGACCCGCACAAGUAGCGGAGCAUGUGGUUUAAUUCGAAGCAACGCGAAGAACCUUACCUAAGCUUGACAUCCCAAUGACAUCUCCUUAAUCGGAGAGUUCCCUUCGGGGACAUUGGUGACAGGUGGUGCAUGGUUGUCGUCAGCUCGUGUCGUGAGAUGUUGGGUUAAGUCCCGCAACGAGCGCAACCCUUGUCUUUAGUUGCCAUCAUUAAGUUGGGCACUCUAGAGA
rnacentral:rRNA from 1 species